rnacentral:SRP_RNA from 11 species
AGGAGUUUUGUGAGCUCUGGCGGCCAUUCGACACGGAAGAUCAUGAACCCCGACAGAACCUGGAAGAAGGAG